GACUCCGUGAAGCUGGAUUCGCUAGUAAUCGCGCAUCAGCCAUGGCGCGGUGAAUACGUUCCCGGGCCUUGUACACACCGCCCGUCACACCAUGAGAGUUGGCAAUACCCAACGUACGUGAUCUAACCCGCAAGGGAGGAAGCGUCCUAAGGUAGGUCAGCGAUUGGGUGAAGUCGUAACAAGGUACC
rnacentral:rRNA from 1 species